CCUACGGGAGGCAGCAGUGGGGAAUAUUGGACAAUGGGGGGAACCCUGAUCCAGCCAUGCCGCGUGUGUGAAGAAGGCCCUCGGGUUGUAAAGCACUUUCAGUGAGGAAGAACGCCUGGUGGUUAAUACCCAUCAGGAAAGACAUCACUCACAGAAGAAGCACCGGCUAACUCCGUGCCAGCAGCCGCGGUAAUACGGAGGGUGCGAGCGUUAAUCGGAAUUACUGGGCGUAAAGCGCGCGUAGGUGGCUUGAUAAGCCGGUUGUGAAAGCCCCGGGCUCAACCUGGGAACGGCAUCCGGAACUGUCAAGCUAGAGUGCAGGAGAGGAAGGUAGAAUUACCGGUGUAGCGGUGAAAUGCGUAGAGAUCGGGAGGAAUACCAGUGGCGAAGGCGGCCUUCUGGACUGACACUGACACUGAGGUGCGAAAGCGUGGGUAGCAAACAGGAUUAGAUACCCUGGUAGUC
rnacentral:rRNA from 1 species